AAUCUUGAAAGGAACUUCUCGGGUCAUUCCGUAAGCUCGGGGAUAUGAAUGCGUUGUAUUUCACUUGCCGGAAAGGCCCGAGAGUGUGCGAUUGCUAUUUAAAACAAGAGUUGUCUUUCUUGAUGAAGCAGAAGACACUUGCAGCGGAAACGAAGAUGGACGCCGAAUCAGCGUGAUCAGACAGAAAGCUUAUAUUUGCGGAUACUUAGCGAAAAUGACUGUCGGGUACAGCACUAUUACACGUGGUGACUGAAGUCUGGUCAGUCGGCAGGCAGCAGUACUCAAUUUACCGCAUUCCUACAAUCCAACUGAAAUUACGGGUAUUCAGAAUCGGCCUUCAAACAGUUGAUGAAGCCCGCCCUGGUAGCUGGAAUUUGCCCCUUGACCAGCAGCACUGUCCAGAGACAGUGGUUGAUGAUGGAUAGAUGACUUUUCCUCAGCCCAUCAUUACCUGCUGGAGUGCUGGUAGAGGCUGAACGCUUUAAUAAAUAUAACUGUGAUCUUGCUGAGAUGUAGUAAUCCAUGGGAAUUUUCCAAAGAAGAUUCAAGAGAACUUUCUGUACCUUAAGAUGUUGACACCUUGCUGAUGGAGAAGAAGCAGAAAGCAGUUCUCUUACCAUCAGAUCUGAUCCAUUUUUGGAGAUAGCCUUUUGUAUGGAGCUGGGUAACGGUUACUGGAGACAUGCUGUUGAUUGAUGAGGAUAAUUUUCCCGAGACUCUGACAUAUAUUGCAGGACCUGGAUAGCUCUACUGGUGUUCAAAAUGCCAGGACUGUGGAGUGUUGUGAUGUUAUUGAUGGUCAACAGAAGAUUGUGACCUUGAAUCUGAAGAUCUGUGAUGAAGACUGGACGUUUGGGGUCACUCUCUGUUACAGUACUACAAAUCUAACAGUGACAUGCUCAGCCACAAAGAGGUUGUCUCUGAUGUCCACACAUAAACCUAAUGGAAACUCUAAACCACAGUGAAUGUAACGGAGGAACUGUCCGUCCUGAUCUAGGAUGUGGAUACGGUUACUGUACCAGUCUGCUGUCAGGAUGUGACUCUGGCUGUCUGUAGUGAUGCCGUGUGGAUAAAAUGAUUGCUCGGUAUUAGAGGGAUGACCAGUGUAUCUAAAUCGGAGUUUUCCUGACUGAUUGACCACCACUACUGCACUAGCUCCACCGUCAGCCACACAGAUAUCCAGGUUCUUGUUCUCACUGAGGUAAUUCAUGUCACCAGAUGAGUAGAGAGGACGACCCUGAUCAUCAAACUGAAUGCUUUGUUUCUCUGUGGAGCCGGAGUAACGCACGACUUUGGAUUGUUUGACAUCAUCACUGACCAUGGUAACCAGGAGAUCAUCAGAGGCGGUACUGCAGACAGAGAGAGGGUACCACCCCUGUAGUGUGAUCACGAUUGAGUUGAGUGGAACAAUGAACCUCCGGAUAUCUAUGUACAUUUACACGUGUAGGAUUAAACUUCUGUUGUACU